rnacentral:tRNA from 1 species
UCCCUGGUGGCUCAGCUGGUAAAGUGUCUGCCUGCAAUGCAGGAGACCCGGGUUUGAUCCCAGGUCAGGAAG